rnacentral:rRNA from 1 species
AUUGAACGCUGGCGGCAUGCCUUACACAUGCAAGUCGAACGGCAGCACGGGAGUAAUCCUGGUGGCGAGUGGCGAACGGGUGAGUAAUAUAUCGGAACGUGCCCAGUCGUGGGGGAUAACGUAGCGAAAGCUACGCUAAUACCGCAUACGAUCUAUGGAUGAAAGCGGGGGAUCGCAAGACCUCGCGCGAUUGGAGCGGCCGAUAUCAGAUUAGCUAGUUGGUGGGGUAAAAGCUCACCAAGGCGACGAUCUGUAGCUGGUCUGAGAGGACGACCAGCCACACUGGAACUGAGACACGGUCCAGACUCCUACGGGAGGCAGCAGUGGGGAAUUUUGGACAAUGGGCGAAAGCCUGAUCCAGCAAUGCCGCGUGCAGGACGAAGGCCUUCGGGUUGUAAACUGCUUUUGUACGGAACGAAAAAGUCUGCCCUAAUACGGUGGGCUCAUGACGGUACCGUAAGAAUAAGCACCGGCUAACUACGUG